ACGAACGCUGGCGGCGUGCUUAACACAUGCAAGUCGAACGGAAAGGCCCUGCUUGCAGGGUACUCGAGUGGCGAACGGGUGAGUAACACGUGGGUGAUCUGCCCUGCACUUCGGGAUAAGCCUGGGAAACUGGGUCUAAUACCGGAUAGGAGCCAUUUUUAGUGUGAUGGUUGGAAAGUUUUUUUCGGUGUAGGAUGAGCUCGCGGCCUAUCAGCUUGUUGGUGGGGUAAUGGCCUACCAAGGCGGCGACGGGUAGCCGGCCUGAGAGGGUGGACGGCCACAUUGGGACUGAGAUACGGCCCAGACUCCUACGGGAGGCAGCAGUGGGGAAUAUUGCACAAUGGGCGCAAGCCUGAUGCAGCGACGCCGCGUGGGGGAUGACGGCCUUCGGGUUGUAAACUCCUUUCGCUAGGGACGAAGCUUUUUGUGACGGUACCUAGAUAAGAAGCACCGGCUAACUACGUG
rnacentral:rRNA from 1 species